AUUGAACGCUGGCGGCAGGCUUAACACAUGCAAGUCGAGCGGAGAUGAGGUGCUUGCACCUUAUCUUAGCGGCGGACGGGUGAGUAAUGCUUAGGAAUCUGCCUAUUAGUGGGGGACAACAUUCCGAAAGGAAUGCUAAUACCGCAUACGUCCUACGGGAGAAAGCAGGGGACCUUCGGACCUUGCGCUAAUAGAUGAGCCUAAGUCGGAUUAGCUAGUUGGUGGGGUAAAGGCCUACCAAGGCGACGAUCUGUAGCGGGUCUGAGAGGAUUAUCCGCCACACUGGGACUGAGACACGGCCCAGACUCCUACGGGAGGCAGCAGUGGGGAAUAUUGGACAAUGGGGGGAACCCUGAUCCAGCCAUGCCGCGUGUGUGAAGAAGGCCUUAUGGUUGUAAAGCACUUUAAGCGAGGAGGAGGCUACUGAGACUAAUACUCUUGGAUAGUGGACGUUACUCGCAGAAUAAGCACCGGCUAACUCUGUGCCAGCCGCCGCUGUAAAAC
rnacentral:rRNA from 1 species